ACCUUCAGAAUCAUUUGGCUAUCAGUUGUUACAAUUCUUACACAAGUUACAUUCAACAUACAGUAUACAGUGUCAUCAUGAAAUCUAUUUCUAUGUAUCUUAUUUUCAUCUUGUUGGGCAUUCUAGUUUGUCCAUCUUUGUGUCUUGCAGUAACUCCCAAAGCAUUGACUCUAGAAGACCUUGGCUGCAAAACCAAUGCAGAUUGUACUCCUCCUAAGGAAUGUUCAGAUCUUGCAUCGCAAGGCGCUGGUAGUUGUGUUUUGCCCGAGUAUCUUUCAGGAUGAUGGCUUUAUUCCUUGAUUUCCUUUUACAGGAAAUUUUCAGCGAGAACUAUGGUUGAUAAUUCAUGUACUAAGACCUAAGAAUAAUAAAUAAAACAGAUAUUUUACUUUGAAA